AACGCGAAGAACCUUACCAUCCCUUGACAUCCAGAGUAUCACCAAGAGAUUGAUGAGUGGCCUUCGGGGACUCUGAGACAGGUGCUGCAUGGCUGUCGUCAGCUCGUGUCGUGAGAUGUUGGGUUAAGUCCCGCAACGAGCGCAACCCUUAUCUUUAGUUGCUAACAUUAGGUUGAGGACUCUAAAGAGACUGCCGGUGACAAACCCGGAGGAAGGUGGGGACGACGUCAAGUCAUCAUGGCCCUUACGGGAUGGGCUACACACGUGCUACAAUGGCCGGUACAGAGGGCUGCGAACUCGCGAGGGUGAGCUAAUCUCAAAAAGCCGGUCGUAGUCCGGAUUGGAGUCUGCAACUNGACNCCAUGAAGUCGGAAUCGCUAGUAAUCGCAGAUCAGAAUGCUGCGGUGAAUACGUUCCCGGGCCUUGUACACACCGCCCGUCACACCAUGGGAGUUG
rnacentral:rRNA from 1 species